rnacentral:rRNA from 1 species
GACGAACGCUGGCGGCGUGCUUAACACAUGCAAGUCGAACGGAAAGGCCCUGCUUGCAGGGUACUCGAGUGGCGAACGGGUGAGUAACACGUGGGUGAUCUGCCCUGCACUUCGGGAUAAGCCUGGGAAACUGGGUCUAAUACCGGAUAGGAGCCAUUUUUAGUGCGAUGGUUGGAAAGUUUUUUCGGUGUAGGAUGAGCUCGCGGCCUAUCAGCUUGUUGGUGGGGUAAUGGCCUACCAAGGCGGCGACGGGUAGCCGGCCUGAGAGGGUGGACGGCCACAUUGGGACUGAGAUACGGCCCAGACUCCUACGGGAGGCAGCAGUGGGGAAUAUUGCACAAUGGGCGCAAGCCUGAUGCAGCGACGCCGCGUGGGGGAUGACGGCCUUCGGGUUGGAAACUCCUUUCGCUAGGGACGAAGCUUUUUGUGACGGUACCUAGAUAAGAAGCACCGGCUAACUACGUG